GCUUGCCUACGGGGCGCAGCAGUGGGGAAUAUUGCACAAUGGGGGAAACCCUGAUGCAGCGACGCCGCGUGAGUGAAGAAGUAUUUCGGUAUGUAAAGCUCUAUCAGCAGGGAAGAAAAUGACGGUACCUGACUAAGAAGCCCCGGCUAACUACGUGCCAGCAGCCGCGGUAAUACGUAGGGGGCAAGUGUUAUCCGGAUUUACUGGGUGUAAAGGGAGCGUAGGUGGCAUGGUAAGCCAGAAGGGAAAACCCAGGGCUCAACCCUGUGGAUUGCUUUUGGACCUAUCAAGCUAGAGU
rnacentral:rRNA from 1 species